AUGCUCGCCCAAGGAAUUAUCGUGCCCAAUUCAAGCCCCUUUGCUUCGCCGGUGCUACUGGUCCAGAAGAAGGAUCUUACUUGGCGUUUUUGUGUCGACUACCGACACUUGAACGCAGUGAAUGUGAAGAACCGCUUCCCAUUGCCGGUGAUCGACGAGCUACUUGACGAGCUAGCAGGCUCCAAGUUCUUCACCAGCCUAGACCUGCGCUCGGGGUAUCUCCAGAUUCGCAUGAGACCCGAGGACGAGCACAAGACGGCGUUCAAGACCCACAGCGGCCACUAUGAAUUCAGGGUUCUCUCUUACGGUCUCACGGACGGCCCCUCAACCUUCCAAGGGGGCAUG
rnacentral:rRNA from 1 species